GCUCUGUCUACAUGGAGAGGAAACUUCAGUCUGCUUUGUUUCUACCUGUUCUAUAAUUUAAAGUUGGACCCCUUUGCUUUCAGAGCUGCCUUAAUUCUUGGUGUCAUAGAUUCAACAAGGUGCUGGAAACAUUCCUCAGAGAUUUUGGUCCACAUUGACAUAAUGACAUCACACAGUUGCUGCAGAUUUGUCGGCUGCACAUCCAUGAUGAGAAUCUCCCGUUCCACCACAUCCCAAAGGUGCUCUAUUGGACUGAGAUCUGGUGACUGUGGAGGCCAUUGGAGUACAGUGAACUCAUUGUCAUGUUUGAGAUGAUGUGAGCUUUGUGACAUGGUGCGUUAUCCUGCUGGAAGUAGCCAUCAGAAGAUGGGUACACUGUGGUCAUAAAGGGAUGGACACGCUCAGCAACAAUACUCAGGUAGGCUGUGGUGUUUAAACCAUGCUCAGUUGGUACUAAGAAAAUCUCCCCCACACCAUUACACCACCAGCAGCAGCCUGAAGCGUUGAUACAAGGCAGGAUGGAUCCAUGCUUCCAUCUGAAUGUGGUUUUUCCAAUCUUCUAUUGUCCAGUUUUGGUGAGAAAACCCGUGUGAAUUGUAGCCUCAGUUUCCUGUUGUUAGCUGACAGGAGUGGCACCUGGUGUGGUCUUCUGCUGCUGUAGCCCAUCUGCUUCAAGGUUGGACAAGGUGUUGUUGCUUCAGAGAUGGUCUUCUGCACACCUUGGUUGGAACCAGUGCUUAUUUGACUUCCUGUUGCCUUUCUAUCAUCUUGAACCAGUCUGGCCAUUCUC